UACAGGGGGUGCAAACGUUGCUCGGAAUCAUUGGGCGUAAAGCGCACGUAGGCGGUCUGUUAUGUCGGAUGUGAAAGCCCUCGGCUCAACUGAGGAAGUGCAUCCGAAACUGGCAGGCUAGAGUACUAAAGAGGGUCGCGGAAUUCCCGGUGUAGAGGUGAAAUUCGUAGAGAUCGGGAGGAACACCAGUGGCGAAGGCGGCUACCUGGACCAGCAUUGACACUCAAGCACGAAAGCGUGGGGAGCAAACAGG
rnacentral:rRNA from 1 species